rnacentral:rRNA from 1 species
UGGUGGAGUGAUUUGUCUGGUUAAUUCCGAUAACGAACGAGACUCUAGCCUACUAAAUAGUGAGCAGAUCGCAAUGUCUGUCACACUUCUUAGAGGGACAAGUGGCGUUUAGCCACAUGAAGUUGAGCAAUAACA